GAUGAACGCUAGCGGCAGGCUUAACACAUGCAAGUCGAGGGGCAGCAGGGAUUUCGGUCCGCUGGCGACCGGCAAACGGGUGCGGAACACGUACGCAACAUACCUCUAUCUGGGGCAUAGCCUUCUGAAAAGAAGAUUAACACCCCAUAAGAUCAUAGAAUGGCAUCAUUUAGUGAUUAAAAAUUUAUUGGAUAGAGAUUGGCGUGCGUCCUAUUAGCUAGUUGGUGCGGGUAAAGGCCCACCAAGGCGACGAUAGGUAGCUGGUGUGAGAGCACGACCAGCCACACGGGCACUGAGACACGGGCCCGACUCCUACGGGAGGCAGCAGUGAGGAAUAUUGGUCAAUGGACGCAAGUCUGAACCAGCCAUGCCGCGUGAAGGAUGAAGGCGUUCUGCGUUGUAAACUUCUUUUAUCGGGGAAGAAACCUGAAUUGUCUAAUUCAGCCGACGGUACCCGAGGAAUAAGCACCGGCUAACUCCGUG
rnacentral:rRNA from 1 species